rnacentral:rRNA from 1 species
AGGGCGCACGGUGGAUGCCUUGGCACUAGAAGCCGAUGAAGGACGUUACUAACGACGAUAUGCUUUGGGGAGCUGUAAGUAAGCUUUGAUCCAGAGAUUUCCGAAUGGGGAAACCCAGCAUGAGUUAUGUCAUGUUAUCGAUAUGUGAAUACAUAGCAUAUCAGAAGGCACACCCGGAGAACUGAAACAUCUUAGUACCCGGAGGAAGAGAAAGAAAAUUCGAUUCCCUUAGUAGCGGCGAGCGAAACGGGAAGAGCCCAAACCAACAAGUUUGCUUGUUGGGGUUGUAGGACACUCUAUACGGAGUUACAAAGGACGACAUUAGACGAAUCAUCUGGAAAGAUGAAUCAAAGAAGGUAAUAAUCCUGUAGUCGAAAAUGUUGUCUCUCUUGAGUGGAUCCUGAGUACGACGGAGCACGUGAAAUUCCGUCGGAAUCUGGGAGGACCAUCUCCUAAGGCUAAAUACUCUCUAGUGACCGAUAGUGAACCAGUACCGUGAGGGAAAGGUGAAAAGCACCCCGGAAGGGGAGUGAAAUAGAACCUGAAACCGUGUGCUUACAAGUAGUCAGAGCCCGUUAAUGGGUGAUGGCGUGCCUUUUGUAGAAUGAACCGGCGAGUUACGAUUUGAUGCAAGGUUAAGCAGUAAAUGUGGAGCCGUAGCGAAAGCGAGUCUGAAUAGGGCGUUUAGUAUUUGGUCGUAGACCCGAAACCAGGUGAUCUACCCUUGGUCAGGUUGAAGUUCAGGUAACACUGAAUGGAGGACCGAACCGACUUACGUUGAAAAGUGAGCGGAUGAACUGAGGGUAGCGGAGAAAUUCCAAUCGAACCUGGAGAUAGCUGGUUCUCUCCGAAAUAGCUUUAGGGCUAGCCUCAAGUGAUGAUUAUUGGAGGUAGAGCACUGUUUGGACGAGGGGCCCCUCUCGGGUUACCGAAUUCAGACAAACUCCGAAUGCCAAUUAAUUUAACUUGGGAGUCAGAACAUGGGUGAUAAGGUCCGUGUUCGAAAGGGAAACAGCCCAGACCACCAGCUAAGGUCCCAAAAUAUAUGUUAAGUGGAAAAGGAUGUGGCGUUGCCCAGACAACUAGGAUGUUGGCUUAGAAGCAGCCAUCAUUUAAAGAGUGCGUAAUAGCUCACUAGUCGAGUGACACUGCGCCGAAAAUGUACCGGGGCUAAACAUAUUACCGAAGCUGUGGAUUGUCCUUUGGACAAUGGUAGGAGAGCGUUCUAAGGGCGUUGAAGCAUGAUCGUAAGGACAUGUGGAGCGCUUAGAAGUGAGAAUGCCGGUGUGAGUAGCGAAAGACGGGUGAGAAUCCCGUCCACCGAUUGACUAAGGUUUCCAGAGGAAGGCUCGUCCGCUCUGGGUUAGUCGGGUCCUAAGCUGAGGCCGACAGGCGUAGGCGAUGGAUAACAGGUUGAUAUUCCUGUACCACCUAUAAUCGUUUUAAUCGAUGGGGGGACGCAGUAGGAUAGGCGAAGCGUGCGAUUGGAUUGCACGUCUAAGCAGUAAGGCUGAGUAUUAGGCAAAUCCGGUACUCGUUAAGGCUGAGCUGUGAUGGGGAGAAGACAUUGUGUCUUCGAGUCGUUGAUUUCACACUGCCGAGAAAAGCCUCUAGAUAGAAAAUAGGUGCCCGUACCGCAAACCGACACAGGUAGUCAAGAUGAGAAUUCUAAGGUGAGCGAGCGAACUCUCGUUAAGGAACUCGGCAAAAUGACCCCGUAACUUCGGGAGAAGGGGUGCUCUUUAGGGUUAACGCCCAGAAGAGCCGCAGUGAAUAGGCCCAAGCGACUGUUUAUCAAAAACACAGGUCUCUGCUAAACCGUAAGGUGAUGUAUAGGGGCUGACGCCUGCCCGGUGCUGGAAGGUUAAGAGGAGUGGUUAGCUUCUGCGAAGCUACGAAUCGAAGCCCCAGUAAACGGCGGCCGUAACUAUAACGGUCCUAAGGUAGCGAAAUUCCUUGUCGGGUAAGUUCCGACCCGCACGAAAGGCGUAACGAUUUGGGCACUGUCUCAACGAGAGACUCGGUGAAAUCAUAGUACCUGUGAAGAUGCAGGUUACCCGCGACAGGACGGAAAGACCCCGUGGAGCUUUACUGUAGCCUGAUAUUGAAAUUCGGCACAGCUUGUACAGGAUAGGUAGGAGCCUUUGAAACGUGAGCGCUAGCUUACGUGGAGGCGCUGGUGGGAUACUACCCUAGCUGUGUUGGCUUUCUAACCCGCACCACUUAUCGUGGUGGGAGACAGUGUCAGGCGGGCAGUUUGACUGGGGCGGUCGCCUCCUAAAAGGUAACGGAGGCGCUCAAAGGUUCCCUCAGAAUGGUUGGAAAUCAUUCAUAGAGUGUAAAGGCAUAAGGGAGCUUGACUGCGAGACCUACAAGUCGAGCAGGGUCGAAAGACGGACUUAGUGAUCCGGUGGUUCCGCAUGGAAGGGCCAUCGCUCAACGGAUAAAAGCUACCCCGGGGAUAACAGGCUUAUCUCCCCCAAGAGUUCACAUCGACGGGGAGGUUUGGCACCUCGAUGUCGGCUCAUCGCAUCCUGGGGCUGUAGUCGGUCCCAAGGGUUGGGCUGUUCGCCCAUUAAAGCGGUACGCGAGCUGGGUUCAGAACGUCGUGAGACAGUUCGGUCCCUAUCCGUCGUGGGCGUAGGAAAUUUGAGAGGAGCUGUCCUUAGUACGAGAGGACCGGGAUGGACAUACCUCUGGUGUACCAGUUGUCGUGCCAACGGCAUAGCUGGGUAGCUAUGUGUGGACGGGAUAAGUGCUGAAAGCAUCUAAGCAUGAAGCCCCCCUCAAGAUGAGAUUUCCCAACUUCGGUUAU